rnacentral:lncRNA from 10 species
AGCGCGGAGGCUUCGGAGCGAGCCGGGGCAGUCGGGGUCGAGGCAGCCCCUCCUGACUGUGACUUUGGACACCUCGCUGAAUCUCUGCUUCCUCCCCUGCAAAAAUGAAAAUUCAUUCAAUGGAUGAAGUUAAGAAGUGCCAAGGGUGAGGAUCUCCUUUAGAAGAGGAGAAGCCUUGCAUCAACCUCUUGGGCCUCAGCCAAGAUGUCUGAGAUACCGUCCACUAUAGUCUCCAAGAACAUGACCAAUGACAGGACCCCAUCACAUUGGAUUGGAGGCCUACCCCGCUCCAGAAUGGCCUCAGCUUAGUGAAUUACAGCUGCAAAGACCUUAUUUCCAAACAAGAUCACAUUCUGAGACAGUAGGGGUUGGGACUUCAACAUACGAAUUGGGAUGACACAGUUCAACCCACAACAGACCAUGAGGAAGGUGUCACCGUGAAGAGAACAGCCUGGAAUCCAUGAACAUCAGCUCUUCUUCAAGCACUGAAGAGAACCCA